rnacentral:rRNA from 1 species
GGCAAGUCUGGUGCCAGCAGCCGCGGUAAUUCCAGCUCCAUAGCGUAUAUUAAAGUUGUUGCAGUUAAAAGCUCGUAGUUGGACGUCUCUCUGACAUGAUGUAAAAGUUAUGUGAGGGAUCAGCCUGGCAGCACCAUGCGUACUUAAGUGGACGGUGGUGAAAUGCGGGCCCUUUACCUUGAGGAAACUAGAGUGUUUAAGGCAGGCUUCUGCCUGAAUACCGCAGCUGGGAAUAAUGCGCGUGGUUAGUCUUGGCGAGACUAUCUACUAUCUUUAAUAGGGACAGUUGGGGCAUUGGUACUCAGUAGUCAGAGGUGAAAUUCUUGGAUUUACUGAAGACCAACUACUGCGAAAGCAUUUGCCAAGGAUGUUUCAUUAAUCAAGAACGAAAGUUAAGGGAUCCAAGACGAUUAGAUACCGU